rnacentral:misc_RNA from 1 species
UUUCCGUAGGUGAACCUACGGAAGGAUCAUUCAUAAUAAGUGUUUUAUGGCACUUUUUUAAAUCCAUAUCCACCUUGUGUGCAAUGUCAGGGUUGAUUUUUCUCUCGAGAGGAUCAACCCCAAACAUCAACUAUAUCUCAACUCUUUGUCUGAAAAAUAUUAUGAAUAAAACAAUUCAAAAUACAACUUUCAACAACGGAUCUCUUGGCUCUC